rnacentral:lncRNA from 1 species
CUCUCAACAAUAGCUAGUGACUUCCUAAUAGCUAUCGACUUUCUAAGCUAGCUAUUUGCAAAUUGCCAUUGAGAGCUAAUAAUAUUCUUCCUAGAGAUCAAAUAGCUAGCAAUUUAAACACCAUUGCGGACGACCUGAUGGGGCAUUACACCUCUAAAACCACCUUAUCAAAUGGGUCCUUUUUGGGCCAGUGUUGGACCACAUUGCUCCUUGGUGGGCCUCCUUCUUUGCUAAGAACAUUGAGGGUCACAUCCCAAAGGGUCCCUUUUGCCACACACGCAGAGCUCUUUUUCUAUGUCUUCUGAAGGCUCGGUCUUGGUGAUGAUCUCCCGAAGCCUUCGUUGUCUCAACCAGCUUGAGAUUAGCGUCUAUGGUGUCGCAAGCUCGCUAGAGAUGGGUGAGUGGUCAUGGGGAGGUUCAGGUUCCAGGAUCGAAGAAGCAGAGAAGACGUUGGGAAGGGGAACAAUAGAGGAGAUAGACGAGGACAGCUUGAUUCAAAAUUCGUAGUUCAAAGUUAUUACAAUACUUGUCCUCUCCUCUUCCUCUUUGUCUCAUAAAUAUAGUAAUAUGAUUACAUGUUCCACUCAGGCACUCACAAUGCAGACUCUAUCUUAGAGUCUAAAGUUAUUUAUUAUCUCGAACAAUAUGGACUUAAAGUCUAAAUAAGUUUUGGAAUCUUAUUUUUUCUACCUAUUUCUUGAUAAAUAUGCUGCCACAUCAGCAAAAUAUCAUAAAUAAUAUAUAAUUAAUUAUCUUGGACUUUAUGAUAGAGUCUUGCAUUGUGAGUGCCCUCAGGGCCAGUCACUCUAGUGUUGAGGCGACGCGCGAGAACAAGACAUGAACUGGUCAAUGCAAUAGGUAUCAAACAUCCAUAGUUCAACACAAGACCUUGGUAGUCGUACACAAAAAAUGUCCUAUUUGUCAUGUAACUGUCGCUAGGUAAGAAAUAGCGGUGACUCAUGUUUUCAAACCUGGCGACUCAUGUUUUCAAACCUCUGUUGCUAGUACAUUCUAAAACAAGAAGGUUAAGACAACCGCAUUAAUAAGUGAAAAUGACACUGUGACCACACAACAAAAGUAUAUGUGGCUUUCCCUGUGCAAAUUGUCCACCUCAACAUGAUCUUCAACUAUAUGAAGCGGACAUGAUGACUGGGAUUUCGCAUAGAACCUGAUUUCUCAUCGAUCUUUUGAACAAUUAACUUCUAAUUUAACGAUAUAUAUCUUGUUGUAGCAUCAUGUCGUUACCAAAAAAUGUGUUCUCUUGAUUGAGAAGUUGUUCUCAUUAAAGGGAAACGAGCAAUGUCCAGUCGUUGUCCCCGUUGAAGCCAUCGUGUUUUCUUGGUGUUUUCUUCUUGCACAUGUUCUCCUUGGUCCACAUGCAAUAUAUAUUCCCCUGCAUCUCAAAGAAAACACAGACAAGCAGCCGGAAUCGAAAACGAAAAUAGCUGCAGAGCCCGUUGUUGACUCGACAAAUGUACUGGUUGUGCCCCAGCAUAUGAAAGAAACGACUCAUGGUUAUUUGAUAUUAAAGGCAUGUCUAUGAGACCAUGAGGCAAAUGGUGUCUCCCAAAUCUUAUCUUUUUUUUUAAUACUAAGAUACACCCUUUACUUCUUAAGAGGUAAAAUCUCAAAUAAAUCUAAGGCAUUAAUUCUUUUGAAUUUUAUGAGUUUUUAAAUUAUUUAGUCAAUUAAUUAAUUAAUAAAGAAAAAGAUAAAUUAUUGUUGACUCCUUAAACCAUGAGGAAAGAAGUCGUGGGUGCCCCUUCCUUUUCCGUGGUCCAUGAAUAAUUUGCGAGAACAAAAACAUGCAGUCGUGCGCAACACCUGGGAUAUAUUAAAUUAACAAGACACAUAUUUUAAAUAUCUAUCCACACAAUUACUUUAAAUCUCAAUGAACGAUUGUAUUAAAGUGCUUAAAUAGUAUACAAAAGUCGAGAAACAAGUCAGUCUAACUUCGUCGCAAAAAGAAAAUAAAAAAAAACAAGGUAGUGCUAACUAAUAAAAACUAUUAAAGAAGUCAUAUUAUGAAUAUACUAUGUCACGUCACAUGCAAAUGAAGUACACUUCACGUUGGCACAUAUGCAAAUCACAUUCAUGCGAAUUGAGAUGUAUUCAGUCUAUGUAAAAUUACAUGCUAUAAUCAAAAUAUAUCCAAAGUUCCAAAACCAAAAAGAUUUAUCAUAUCCACCAGAUCACGCAUGCAUGUCAAAUCUAGGAAGAAGAUUUUUUUUAUAUCAAAAUCUUUCCUAAUUUAUCCUACUUUACAAAAUAAAAAAUUAAAUAAACAUAUAUUUCACCUAUUACCUUCUUAGAGGUAAUAUGUGACCAUAGCCGUCAGAUCAAACUAAAUAAACAGCUCAUAGUCAUUUGGGUGUAUCAUAGCAAAGCUCCUUCUUUUGCUUCUUUUUUCUUAUUAAAAAAAGAAUCAAAAGAUGAUGAUGGCCAUGACGAGGAUGAUAAUGGUGCUUGGAUUAGGUGUUAGUCGUUCUAAACUAGCUUUCAAAAGCUCUGUUCCAUGGCCCCAAGCAACCUUCUCUGAUCAAUUUGUAGCCAAGAGAUUCAGCAGUCAAUUUGGGAUGGCUAAUCCCCUUUUGCUUGUUGGGACGACACGGACACCCACAAGUCCUACUUCACUCGUGUCCGAGUGCGAGUAGUUACGCAAUGACAUUAUUAACGUAUUCACUGGCAUUCUUUGUAGGAGCUGUUUGAGCGGAAAUAACAACAAUAUAAGGUCAGUACGUAGGAGAUUUUGGUCACUACAUGUUCUACAGAGAGACAAAACGAUGCUUCGGCCGUGUCAUCUUUUGUGGCAUGCGUUCAUGUCUGAUAACGUACGUUUUUGCUGACCUUUUUACUUGUUCCAUUCUUAUUUUCUAAGAUAAACAGUAGGUGCUUGGCCCCCCUUGUUCCAUCAAAAAAUGUUUGGUAAACUUGCUAUACACUUGUCUUUCGAGAGCAGAGGUAUUCUUGACCAUAAUAACUAAGUCGUUCCUUUCUUACAAAAUAAGAAUGGAAAAAAAAUCACUGUACAGUAAUUAGGUACGCCAUAUGACGCAGUAUAUGGCGUGGCCAUCAAACGCAAACAAGAUGCUUUUAUUAUUUUUUAAAAAAAGAAAUAUGUGGUAUAUAAACAUUUUAUCUUACUAUUACUAAUUAGAAGGCCCAACGAAAACACCACAUUAAUUUUCAUUAGACGCACUAGAAAAAAAAUAAAUCCUAAAAAUUCUUACAAUAAUUAGAAAUAUCUAGCCUUUAAUUUGGUAGACUCCAAUCAUCACCGCCGAUAAUAGCCAUUAGAUCUAUUGUAAUUUAUAAAAAAAUAUCCACCUCCGCCAAUAUAAAAAAUACAUAAAGUACCCCCUAAAUGUUGCAUAUAAAUUACCCGCCUCUGCCAUUAGGAAAGAUAAUUCAAAAUAACCCACUGAAUUUGUAUAUAUAUUACCCACGUUUGUCAUUAUAAAACAUAAUUUAAAUAAACCCCCUCACGUUGAAUGUAAAUUACCCACCAUUGCUACUAUGAAAGAAAAUUAUAAAAAAAACCUCUAACUUUGUAUCUAGAUUACCUACCUCUAUAAUUAUGAAAGAUAAUUUAAAAUAUAACCCACUAAUUUUGUAUCUAGAUUACUCAAAUAUGUCAUUAUUAAAGAUAAUUUAAAAUACACAAUAAUAAUUUUAUAGAUUAUCAACCUUUGUAAUUAUGAAAGAUCCUGAAAAGUAACCUUCUAAAUUUACAUUCAACCUACCCAUAUAUGUUGUUAUGGAAGAAUAAAGUGUUACCUUUAUAUCUACCUCAACCAUAAAAAAAUAAACAACAUGUCUCAAAUUUAUGUGUAAAUACUAAUAUAUGCUAUUACAAAAAAAAUACAUUGAUAUCUUUAAAGUACGAGACAUACAUAUUUCUAAAUAAUAAACUUUCUAAAUCCAUGAAAUUCAAUAACCAUAAUGUUAUGUUUCACCAUUUAUACUAAGUAAACAUUUAUACAUUAGGGUAUAUAUUUAUUUUAAUAGCUUAUGAAGCAUGGAAAUAUGUUUAAUUGACAAACAUAUAGAAAUAACAUACCAUUGACAAUUCAAUUUAAGUUAUAUUAAUACUAGAUGAUAAUCAAUUUUAUAAGUUGUUAUUUUAAAUAACAUUAUAUAGAUUUAAAUGGAAAAAUUAUGUCAUAUCAGUAAUUGUAAUUUAAUAUUAAGCAUUAUAUGAUAUAUAAGACAAUAGUAGACAUAUAUAAUCAUGUGGUAUAAUAAAUUCAACAAGUCCAAUGCUAGGGUACAAUAUGAGUUUCAACUUAAUUAAUAUGUGAAAAACAAUACUACUAGGACUUAAACUCUUUUUUAAUAAAACACUAAUUUUUGAAAAAAAAAUGAUAAAAAAACUUGUAUAACUCCAUUGAAUGUCGAAAGCUAAACUAUAAUUUAUGAAGUUUAAAAAAGGACGCAACUAGAUUUCAUAUAUUUUAAUAUUAUGUUUCGACUAAACAAAUGUCAUGCUAAACACUAGAAAAUGUAACUAAGGAUCUCCAAUGGAGCCUCCAUGUUAAUCCUCAUGAAACACAAUAGGGGAAAAAGUCAGAUCCUCUAAAUUCUCUCAAAAAUCUAAAACAUUUAAGUAUCAACUCGGCAUAACCUAACCACCAUUGGUAAUAAUAGCUAUACUGGAUCUAUUCAUAAAUAAUUACCUACCUCUACUAUUGCAUAAAACAACAUAAGGAAAACACAUGACUCUAUAUUCAAAUUACCCACUAUGCCAUUAAGAAAUAUGAUUUAAAGUAUACCUAAACUUGCACCUAAUUACCCACGUUUCCUUAUUAUGGUAGAUAAUUUAUAUAACCCAAUUUUUAUGAAAAAAGAAUGCGAUUGAAAACUGAAAGCUAAACUAUAAUUUAUGGAGUAACAAAAAGAGAUGCAACUAGAGUUUAUAUAUUUUAAUAUUAUGUUUUAACUAAAUACAUGUCAUGAUAAAAUAAAUACUAGAAAUUCUAACUAGAGAUCUCUAAUGGAGACUCCAGGUUAAUACUCAUGAGACAUGUUAAUCCCCAUCAGACACAAUAGAAAAAAAUAGAUUCUAAAACUUCACAAAAAUCUGAAAUAUUUAACUAUCAAUUUGGUAUAACCUAAUCACCGUUGAUAAUAAUAGCUAUGGGAUCUAUUCCAUAAAUAAUUUCCCACUGCUAUUGCAUAAAACAUUGUAAGAUAACACAUGACUUAUAUUCAAACUACCCACAUAUGCACUAUUAAGGAAAAUGAUCAAAAGUAUACUCCCU